rnacentral:rRNA from 1 species
UUGACUUGACCUCAAAUCAGGUAGGACUACCCGCUGAACUUAAGCAUAUCAUA